rnacentral:rRNA from 1 species
CAAUAGCGUAUAUUAAAGUUGUUGCGGUUAAAAAGCUCGUAGUUGGAUUUCUGCUGAGAACGACCGGUCCGCCCUUUGGGUGUGUAUCUGGCUCUUUCUUGGCAUCUUCUUGGUGAACGUUGCUGCACUUGACUGUGUGGAGCGCUACCCAGGACUUUUACUUUGAGGAAAUUAGAGUGUUUCAAGCAGGCAUACGCCUUGAAUACAUUAGCAUGGAAUAAUAAGAUAGGACCUCGGUUCUAUUUUGUUGGUUUCUAGAGCUGAGGUAAUGAUUAAUAGGGAUAGUUGGGGGCAUUCGUAUUUAAUUGUCAGAGGUGAAAUUCUUGGAUUUAUGAAAGAUGAACUUAUGCGAAAGCAUUUACCAAGGAUGUUUUCAUUAA